rnacentral:rRNA from 1 species
UACAGAGGUCUCAAGCGUUGUUUCGGAUUCAUUGGGCGUAAAGGGUGCGUAGGCGGCGCGGUAAGUCGGGUGUGAAAUCUCGGGGCUUAACUCCGAAACUGCAUUCGAUACUGCCGUGCUUGAGGGACUGGAGAGGAGACUGGAAUUUACGGUGUAGCGGUGAAAUGCGUAGAUAUCGUAAGGAAGACCAGUGGCGAAGGCGGGUCUCCUGGACAGUUCCUGACGCUGAGGCACGAAGGCCCAGGGGAGCAAACGGGG